AGCCAACCACCAACAACCACCUAUACUUUAAGAAUGAACAAAUAGAGAAAAAUCAACGGACAUAUGAAAAAGCAUCAGUCCUUCAUCAGAAAGAGAUUUGAAGAAUCAGAGCAAAAAUCUCCCAAUGAAUCCAACUUACUACACAGAACUAGAGUCUUACUGAACCUUAAGUAUGAGAUGGCAACAGUGCCCAAGUGGAUGGGGGACGACGUCUUGGGAGGAACUUGGGUUCCUGAUUACAUAAGGAGCUGUCCUGCUGAUCCGGACCAUUCACAUAUGGACUGUUAAGUGAGUGAGAAAUCAACUUCCUUCUUGAGUCACUGUGUCAUUGGAACUUUUUGCUACAGUAGAGUAGCUUUACCC
rnacentral:lncRNA from 1 species